rnacentral:rRNA from 1 species
AACGAACACUGGCGGCAGGCCUAACACAUGCAAGUCGAGCGCCCCGCAAGGGGAGCGGCGGACGGGUGAGUAACACGUGGGAAUUUUCCUCAAGGUACGGAACAACUCAGGGAAACUUGGGCUAAUACCGUAUGAUGCAGAGAUGCCAAAGAUUUAUCGCCUUGGGAUAAGCCCGCGUCAGAUUAGGUAGUUGGUGGGGUAAUGGCCUACCAAGCCUGUGAUCUGUAGCUGGUCUGAGAGGACGAUCAGCCACAUUGGGACUGAGACACGGCCCAAACUCCUACGGGAGGCAGCAGUGGGGAAUCUUGCGCAAUGGACGAAAGUCUGACGCAGCCAUGCCGCGUGAAUGAUGAAGGUCUUAGGAUUGUAAAGUUCUUUAGCCUGUGACGAUGAUGACGGUAACAGGAGAAUAAGCCCCGGCUAACUUCGUG